UGACUGUGUGUGUGUGUGUAUGUAUAAAAUUCAUCAUAUAGAAAUUUAAUUAUCUAGCAUAUCUCAGAUAUAUUUUGGGGGGACAUAGUUGGUUUAACCAAAAGAGGUCAAUUUGUAAAAUCAGAAUGACCAUUAUUUUAGAAGGUGGAGUCAAACUGCCAAAUAAACUGGGUAUUUAUUUGCAUUCUCUGUGGACAGAUCUUAGGGAGAGCAAAUGAUAAGCGAAGUAGCAUGGGGAGCAGCAACUAGAGUGAACAGAGGGAGCUGGAGAAUCCCAGUGGCUGAUAUUAUCAAGCCAUGAUCACCGGAGGCAUAUAUCUCCACACAAGUGACUCGACAUGCACCUGCUACUUGAAGAGGAUUCUGUUGCUCUGCUAAGCAGCGUAGGUACCCAGUUUGCAACCACGGUAUUAGGGCGCCUCUGUAGGAUCACUCACUCUCCUGAGCCACUGCCCUUGUUGGGUCGUUCUCUCUGUUCCUAGUAUUCAGGUCCAAGGCCUGAACAGGGUAUCUAUCGCCUGUUGACCUCCUGUGUGCAUUGGCCCCAGCUACCCAAGAGGUGGUUACCCCCAUGCAAUAGAAUGAAUUUGCUGCAAAGAAGGCAACUCGGCCCAAGCCUUGGGGAAAACCCACGGCAGAAAAGUGAGAGGACGAGAAGAAGCCUCUUCAGAAUGGGGUUCCUAUUUGCUCCUUUCUUUCUUUAAAAAAAUUUUUUUUUCUUUUUUUCUUUAACAAGGUUUCCCACUUUCAGGGCUGACAAUCCGCUUCCGAAGCAGAGCCCCUGAAGUCAAGUCCCGAGCAGACGUGCCCGCGCGCCCUGGCUGAGUCUGUGAGAACCUCGCACACACUCCCAUUGUGACACGGGCGCGACCUCGACCGUCCCCCCCGCGGAAGCUGGGCAUAGACUCAAACCCAAAGUAUUCUCGGUCCACGUUUACAGAUGUUAGCCCGUGUUCCAUUUUUAACUGUGACGUAGGCACGUGCACUGGUUGCCCAGGAGACACGAAUCUGGGCAAACGCGGCAGAAAAGUGCCGGAGGAAGGGCAGAUGUGUUUCCCGGAGGUCCUGCUCACGCACAGCCUCCGAGCUCCCCGUCAGUGCCCUCCCCCAGCCGCAGAGCCCCAGAAUCUAGACCCCUAA
rnacentral:lncRNA from 1 species